rnacentral:misc_RNA from 1 species
GCAAACUUGGUCAUUUAGAGGAAGUAAAAGUCGUAACAAGGUUUCCGUAGGUGAACCUGCGGAAGGAUCAUUACUAAAUGAGUUUUUGAAAAGGGUUUAUAAGCUAGCCUUUUAUAAGGUAUAAGCAAUGCCCUGCUCAUUCACUCUAUAAACCAUAAUGUGCAGAACCGGCUAGAGAGUAUGUAUAAUAUAUGUGGGAAAAUAUAUUCUAUUGAUCUAAGUCGCAAGACUUGGAUUGAUACCAUACUCGUCUAUGCCCAUUUAUUUUUUAAACACAUGGCUUCAGUAACAGAAUGUUAAUGCUUUUGCAUUAUAAAUAUAACUUUCAGCAACGGAUCUCUUGGCUCUCGCAUCGAUGAAGAACGCAGC